UCGGUGGGACUUUCGUUCGACU
rnacentral:miRNA from 1 species